GACGAACGCUGGCGGCGUGCUUAACACAUGCAAGUCGAACGGUAAGGCCCCUUCGUUGGUACACUAGUGGCGGACGGGUGAGUAACACGUGGGUGAUCUUCCCUUCCCUUCGGGAUAAGCCUGGGAAACUGGGUCUAAUACCGGAUAGGGCCACGCUCUUCAUGGAGUGUGGUGGAAAGCUUUUGCGGUGUGUGCUGUGCCCGCGGUCUAUCAGCUUGUUGGUUUGGUAAUUGCCUACCAAGGCGACGGCGCGUAGCCGACAUGAGAGGGUGUCCGGCCACACUGGAACUGAGACACGGGCCAGAGUACGACGGGAGGCAGCAGUAGGGAAGCUGCCGCAAGGGGCGAAAGCCGGACGGAGCAACGCCGCGUGAGUGAUGAAGGUCUGCGGAUCGUAAAACUCUGUUAGGAGGGAAGAAAAUAUGUGUAAGUAACUGUGCACAUCUUGACGGUACCGAAUCAGAAAGCCGCGGCUAACUACGUG
rnacentral:rRNA from 1 species